rnacentral:misc_RNA from 1 species
GAAAUGCGAUAAGUAAUGUGAAUUGCAGAAUUCAGUGAAUCAUCGAAUCUUUGACCGCACCUUGCGCUCCUUGGUAUUCCUUGGAGCAUGCCUGUUUGAGUAUCAUGAAAUCUUCAAAGUAAAUCUUUUGUUAACUCAAUUGGUUUCUACUUUGGUAUUGGAGGUCUUUGCAGCUUCACACCUGCUCCCCUUUGUUCAUUAGCUGGAUCUCAGUGUUAUGCUUGGUUCCACUCGGCGUGAUAAGUUAUCUAUCGCUGAGGACACUGUAAAAGGUGGCCAAGGUAAAUGCAGAUGAACCGCUUCUAAUAGUCCAUUGACUUGGACAAUACUUUUAUGAUCUGAUCUCAAAUCAGGUAGGACUACCCGCUGAACUUAAGC